CUCGAGCGGCGAACGGGUGAGUAACACGUGAGUAACCUGCCCCUGACUCUGGGAUAAGCCCGGGAAACUGGGUCUAAUACCGGAUAUGACACCUCCUGGCAUCGGGUGGGUGUGGAAAGUUUUUUCGGUUGGGGAUGGACUCGCGGCCUAUCAGCUUGUUGGUGGGGUAAUGGCCUACCAAGGCGACGACGGGUAGCCGGCCUGAGAGGGCGACCGGCCACACUGGGACUGAGACACGGCCCAGACUCCUACGGGAGGCAGCAGUGGGGAAUAUUGCGCAAUGGGCGAAAGCCUGACGCAGCGACGCCGCGUGGGGGAUGACGGCCUUCGGGUUGUAAACCUCUUUCAGCAGGGACGAAGUUGACGUGUACCUGCAGAAGAAGCGCCGGCUAACUACGUGCCAGCAGCCGCGGUAAUACGUAGGGCGCAAGCGUUGUCCGGAAUUAUUGGGCGUAAAGAGCUCGUAGGUGGCUUGUCACGUCGGGUGUGAAAGCUUGGGGCUUAACUCCAGGUCUGCAUUCGAUACGGGCUGGCUAGAGGUAGGUAGGGGAGAACGGAAUUCCUGGUGUAGCGGUGAAAUGCGCAGAUAUCAGGAGGAACACCGGUGGCGAAGGCGGUUCUCUGGGCCUUACCUGACGCUGAGGAGCGAAAGCGUGGGGAGCGAACAGGAUUAGAUACCCUGGUAGUCCACGCUGUAAACGUUGGGCGCUAGGUGUGGGGACCUUCCACGGUUUCCGCGCCGUAGCUAACGCAUUAAGCGCCCCGCCUGGGGAGUACGGCCGCAAGGCUAAAACUCAAAGGAAUUGACGGGGGCCCGCACAAGCGGCGGAGCAUGUUGCUUAAUUCGACGCAACGCGAAGAACCUUACCAAGGCUUGACAUCGCCCGGAAAGCUCUGGAGACAGAGCCCUCUUCGGACUGGGUGACAGGUGGUGCAUGGCUGUCGUCAGCUCGUGUCGUUUGUUCAAUGUUGCCAGCACGCUCCUUUCGGGGGUGGGUGGGGACUCCUUGGAAUACUGCCG
rnacentral:rRNA from 1 species